rnacentral:rRNA from 1 species
UACGGGGGGGGCAAGCGUUGUUCGGAAUUACUGGGCGUAAAGAGCUCGUAGGCGGCCUGUCACGUCGGCUGUGAAAACCCGGGGCUCAACCCCGGGCCUGCAGUCGAUACGGGCAGGCUAGAGUUCGGCAGGGGAGACUGGAAUUCCUGGUGUAGGCGGUGAAAUGCGCAGAUAUCAGGAGGAACACCGGUGGCGAAGGCGGGUCUCUGGGCCGAUAUUGACGCUGAGGAGCGAAAGCGUGGGGAGCGAACAGG